CUGACUCCAACCUGAGGACUGGGAUCGGAGGUCUUUCCAGAAACAGAAGGCUUCCAGCUGCUCCCAUGGGUUUCAGGAGGAAUCUGCUUGCUUGGAUCAGCUGACCUCUGACAGUUUGUUUAGGGAAGGAGUGGGGAGUGAUUGUUACAGGCCCUGCAGGGGAGAGAUCCCGUGGGUGGUGGUGCUGAGGCGUGUUUAAUGAGGCCGUCCCUUAGUCAGGGGCUGAAGGUGGACCCUUGACAUUUGGAAGCAGCGUGGAGAGUCACUGUGCACCCCCUGAGAGAGGGAGGCCUCUGCCCAGAGCAGGGAACUUCAUAAGCGGUGGCCUGGAGGGAACCGUCCACAGAGCCGCCUGUGUCUCCCCUCCAGAGUGUAGGUCCCUGAGGGCAGUCACCUGAUCUGUCUCGGUCACUGCUGUGUCCCCAAACUGAGCACUGCAUCAGGCACACAGAGGUCAGUGGUGAGGACUAAAGGAGGCGAUGAAAAGGGACUCCCCACAAGGAGCCUGGCACGGAGGAAGUUUCGACGUAUGCUGUCCAUUGCAACUUCAACUUAUGCUGCGUUUCUGUGUCGGAACAGCGGAAGAAAUUCAACAAGCACUUCGUCUCAGAGGCUGUUACAAUUAAUUGAGCCUGAAAGACCACAGACUUGAAAAAGCCCUCAAAGUGAUAAAGGUAAAAAGAAAAAUAAAAUGACAUCUAGCAGGCAUUGAGGGCUCUACAACGUGUGGCUAGCCUGUAUUCAGUACUCUACAGUGAGUAGCCAGCCUGUGCUCAGCACUCCACAGUGAGUGGCCAGCCUGUGCUCAGCACUCUACAGUAUGUGGCCAACCUGUGCUCAGCAGUCCACAGUGAGUGGCCAGCCUGUGCUCGGUACUCUACAGUGAGUUGUCAGUCUAUGCUCAGCAUUCUAUAGUGAGUGGCCAGCCUGUGCUCAGCACUCUACAGUGAGUGGCCAGUCUGUACUCUACACUCCACAGUGAGUAGCCAGCCUGUGGUCAGGACUCUACAGUGAGUGGCCAGUUAUACUCUGCACUCUACAGUGAGUGGCCAGCCUGUACACAGCACUCCACAGUCGUCAUCUUUUCAUCAUAAAUCUAAUGGUCACUUAAUGAGGUAGACCUGUCCCAUGACUCGAACUGAUUUUAAAAACUCAAAACUCAUACUCUCUUGCAUUUGGCAACCAAAACACAACCCACUUCCUGGGACCUUCUUACAGCCAGGCCACGUUGAGCAAACACCAAGACCUCUUCAGAGUUGGUCAGCAGCCAGGUCAGCAGUGACUGGCAAGGCGACUGCUUGCCAGGUCUCCUCCAGCAUGAGCUUGGGAUGGAGCUGAAUCCCUUUCAUGCACAAGCAGAAUUUGAAAAGGUGCGGGGCCACACUAGUACCUCUGCAUCUCCCACCAGAGCCCACCAGCUUAUUUUGCUCCUUCAGAGUCUGUAAAGCAUCCUUCUGGAUGACGAAUGCCUUCCGAGGCUCCAGCCCACCAAGCCUUCCUCUAAGUUUCAGAUGCAGAGGCCACCUCGGAGAACUGUGAUUGUCUCCCUGCAACUCCCCAGUGCCCCCGGAUGAUUGCCCCUCUCCUCACCUGCUAUCACAAAGACAAGAAAGGCCAUUCAUAAUUUAAGUCGGCCCUUUCUUUCCUACACACCACCAACAUGAGUCGGAUGCUGGAGGAAAAAUUGAACUCUUUCUCCCAGGAUACACCAAAGAUCAAGCAGAAUCUCAUUAAGGCUCACUUCAAAGACUCGUCCUUUAUUUCCAUACAAACAAGUUUAAAUUAUCGUGCGUGAAUCUGCUGUUAGCAGGGACUCUGUUCCAUUAUGCAUGAUUCCUUACUGUUCAUAUCAUGAAUAAUGGGCAGUGCUCCAUUAGCGAUUUCCAGUAAUAUGCUAAACUUUGGGAGUGGUCACGGUAUUAGGUUAAAGUUCUGUUGUUUGCCUAUUUAUUUUAUUUCCUACUCAAGCUAUAAUGGCCUGCUUCAUCAAAAUAGGUUUCGCAAUCUUGUUGCAACGAACACAGCAUAACACAUGUUGUGGCUAUGAUUUCCUUAUUAUUAUUAUGGAAUAUUUAUUGAGCACUUACUAUGUGUAAGGGAUGGUGCUCAGUGUAUGCACUGCAUGCAUAAUAUUUAAUCUUCCAGAAUCCCAUGAGAUAGCUAUGAUGAUUAUUCCCAUUUUACUGGUGAAAAAAACUGAUAAUUUGAGCAGGACCUAAAUUGUCCACGGAUAAAACUUUUUUGUGCGUUUUUGAGACAGGGUCUCACUCUGUGACCCAGGCUGGAGUGCAGUGGUGCAAUUAUGGCUCACUGCAGCCUUGACUUUCCAGGCUCAAGUGAUCCUCCCACCUCAGCCUCCUGAGUAGCUGGGACUACAGGCAUGCACCAUCACACUGGCUAAUGUUUUAAACAAUUUUUGUAGAGAUGGUGUCUUGCUAUUUUGCCCAAGCUGGUCUAGAACUCCUGGGCUCAAGCAAUCCGCCCACUUCAGCCUCCCAAGAUGAUGGGAGUACAGGCAUGAGCCACCGUGCCUGGCCUGAUAGAACUGUUAAUAAAUGGUAAUGCUGAUUCAAAUCAGUUGGUCUGACUUCAGAUACUCCUAAUUAUAAAAUACUUUUUAUAAUGCUAUUACUUGCUGAAGAGCUUCGGUAGAUAAUCGACGAUUUGGUAAGCAGGUAUUUGGAUGUCCAGUACACAGAUGAGAAAUGAAUGCUCAGGGGAUUGAUUGAUACCUGGGAGUGAGAAGAUCUUUGUUCAGGCACUGGUUUUGACUUCACUUAAUCUUGGGCAAGUCAUCCAGUCUUCCUGGAUGUGCUGAGGUGGUUGCAUUAUUGCCUUUGUAAUUUUUUUCUUCUUUUUUUUUAUUAUACUUUAAGUUCUUUGUGCACAUGUAUACUUUAAGUGUACAUGUGCACAACAUGCAGGUUUGUUACAUAUGUAUAUAUGUGUCAUGUUGGUGUGCUGUACCCAUUAACUCAUCAUUUACAUUAGGUAUAUCUCCUAAUGCUAUCCCUCCCCCCUCCCCCCACCCCAUGACAGGCCCCACUGUGUGAUGUUUCCAAUCCUGUGUCCAAGUGUUCUCAUUGUUCAAUUCCCACCUAUGAGUGAGAACAUGCGGUGUUUGGUUUUCUGUCCUUGCGGCAGUUUGUUCAGAAUUAUAGUUUCUGGCUUCAUCCAUGUCCCUACAAAGGACAUAAACUCAUCCUUUUUUAUGGCUGUGUAGUAUUCCAUGGUGUAUAUGUGCCACAUUUUCUUAAUCCAGUCUAUCAUUGAUGGACAUUUGGGUUGGUUGCAAGUCUUUGCUAUUGUGAAUAGUGCCGCAAUAAACAUACGUGUGCAUAUGUCUUU
rnacentral:antisense_RNA from 1 species